rnacentral:rRNA from 1 species
UUAAACGAGAGUUUGAUCCUGGCUCAGGACGAACGCUGGCGGCGUGCCUAACACAUGCAAGUCGAACGAAGAAUGUUUUUCGGAAUAUUCUUAGUGGCGGACGGGUGAGUAACGCGUGAACAAUCUGCCCCGUACAAAGGGAUAGCCUCGGGAAACCGGGAUUAAAACCAUAUAACACUUAACUGCCGCAUGGUAGUGAAGUCAAAUCGAUUAAGA